AUUUUUAUUUUUAUUUUAUUUUCAAUAAACAGACGUUCCUUUCUUUUUGUUUGCUUAUUCAGUUUGGAUUCGAUUAAUAAAAUUCAAAUUUUCAAAAUUCAUGCGAGGGACGCUACAACUCAACUUCUUCAUCAUUUCAUUCAUUUUUUUCUUGCUUUGCUAAUUAAUAUCAUUUCAAAUUCAAAAUCAAUACAAUUCUCAUGCCCCAACCCGGCCCGUUUUAUAAUCGCCUUAUUUAUUUAUUUUGGCUGA